AAAUUGAAGAGUUUGAUCAUGGCUCAGAUUGAACGCUGGCGGCAGGCCUAACACAUGCAAGUCGAGCGGUAGCACAGAGAGCUUGCUCUCGGGUGACGAGCGGCGGACGGGUGAGUAAUGUCUGGGAAACUGCCUGAUGGAGGGGAUAACUACUGGAAACGGUAGCUAAUACCGCAUAACGUCGCAAGACCAAAGUGGGGACCUUCGGGCCUCAUGCCAUCAGAUGUGCCCAGAUGGGAUUAGCUAGUAGGUGGGGUAACGGCUCACCUAGGCGACGAUCCUAGCUGGUCUGAGAGGAUGACCAGCCACACUGGAACUGAGACACGGUCCAGACUCCUACGGGAGGCAGCAGUGGGAAUAUUGCACAAUGGGCGCAAGCCUGAUGCAGCCAUGCCGCGUGUGUGAAGAAGGCCUUCGGGUUGUAAAGCACUUUCAGCGGGGAGGAAGGCGUUAAGGUUAAUAACCUUGGCGAUUGACGUUACCCGCAGAAGAAGCACCGGCUAACUCCGUGCCAGCAGCCGCGGUAAUACGGAGGGUGCAAGCGUUAAUCGGAAUUACUGGGCGUAAAGCGCACGCAGGCGGUCUGUCAAGUCGGAUGUGAAAUCCCCGGGCUCAACCGGGAACUGCAUUCGAAACUGGCAGGCUAGAGUCUUGUAGAGGGGUAGAAUUCCGGUGUAGCGGUGAAAUGCGUAGAGAUCUGGAGGAAUACCGGUGGCGAAGGCGGCCCCUGGACAAAGACUGACGCUCAGGUGCGAAAGCGUGGGGAGCAAACAGGAUUAGAUACCCUGGUAGUCCACGCCGUAAACGAUGUCGAUUUGGAGGUUGUGCCCUUGAGGCGUGGCUUCCGGAGCUAACGCGUUAAAUCGACCGCCUGGGAGUACGGCCGCAAGGUUAAAACUCAAAUGAAUUGACGGGGCCCGCACAAGCGGUGGAGCAUGUGGUUUAAUUCGAUGCAACGCGAAGAACCUUACCUGGUCUUGACAUCCACAGAACUUUCCAGAGAUGGAUUGGUGCCUUCGGGAACUGUGAGACAGGUGCUGCAUGGCUGUCGUCAGCUCGUGUUGUGAAAUGUUGGGUUAAGUCCCGCAACGAGCGCAACCCUUAUCCUUUGUUGCCAGCGGUUCGGCCGGGAACUCAAAGGAGACUGCCAGUGAUAAACUGGAGGAAGGUGGGGAUGACGUCAAGUCAUCAUGGCCCUUACGACCAGGGCUACACACGUGCUACAAUGGCAUAUACAAAGAGAAGCGACCUCGCGAGAGCAAGCGGACCUCAUAAAGUAUGUCGUAGUCCGGAUUGGAGUCUGCAACUCGACUCCAUGAAGUCGGAAUCGCUAGUAAUCGUAGAUCAGAAUGCUACGGUGAAUACGUUCCCGGGCCUUGUACACACCGCCCGUCACACCAUGGGAGUGGGUUGCAAAAGAAGUAGGUAGCUUAACCUUCGGGAGGGCGCUUACCACUUUGUGAUUCAUGACUGGGGUGAAGUCGUAACAAGGUAACCGUAGGGGAACCUGCGGUUGGAUCACCUCCUUA
rnacentral:rRNA from 1 species